CGCGGUCGGGGCAGGGCCGUGUCCUCUCGUGUGUUGUCCUCAAAACCAGAGCCACCGCGGCGCCCGAACAGAGGCGCUGUCGCGUCUCCAAAGCGGUGCUGAACGUGGCCAACACACACCCUUGUCGCGUGUGGCGGGUCGCGUGCUGUGAAUGAAUUCCCUCUUGUCCCAAGUCCACACCGGAGCCGAUCGUCUCCAGGGUGCCCACGGGGUGCGUCCUUGUGUCCCCGCGCUACCUUUUGUCUGUCUGGUGGCUUCGUGGGCAGAGAAGGACGUUUUCUGAGAAGGGGGAUCUGAAGGUUCAGCAGGCCGCCUUGGGAGGAAGGUGGGGGCCUUCGGUUCCGGACGCGUUUCUCCCCGGGCGCAGCUGCGAGGCAGGAUUCAGUCCGAAGAUUUCGGAGGUGGAAGGACCUGCCAACUGAUCCAGACGGUCACCUCGGGGCGACGGGGUUAUUCACCGCCUUCCUCCUCAAGGUCGUCUCCCUCCGGGCGCGCGCUCCGGCCACUUCCCAGCGACGACGGAGCGUCGCCGGGCGAUUCCGGGCAGAGGAGCGCAGGGGUGAGCCGGAGAGCGACACGCGGUCAAAGGAGAGAGUCAGGAAGGUACAGGUUCCGCACGGGGACAAGAGAGCCCGAUGGAAAGUGACAGGAGAACCGACCAUCCGGGAUCACUUCCAACAACAGCAGGGAAGCCGCUGUGGUGAUCGAGCAUUUCCUGCCCGGGUGACAGCGAGAAGCUUUGGCGGUGCAAAGGCCCCGGGGUACUGAUGCGGGAAAUCUGUGAUACAGCCAGACUGCCCCGAGGAGGAGCCGCACGUUUGGGGUUCCAACCUGAGUUGAGCAGCUGCCCGAGAGCUUCCCUGAGGCAGUUCCAGGGCUCCACACCAAUCACAGCGAGGCCAAGGCCAUAAAGAGCAGGAGCAGGAUCGUGCCCGGAGAACCCGCGCGUGGCAAAAUGGAGGAGGGUGGUCCCAGCGGUUUCCCCUGCUGGUUCCUGCGCCCAGUCGGGAGUCAGGAGGAAGAAUCACAAGGGACGCUCGCUCGCUCGCUCAGCCUUUGCUCAGGGGUUCUGCCAGGUGAGACCCGCGGUAGACGUCCCCGUGGAUGUGGCUGCCCCGUGGGGCUUCAGGCGGCCUUGCGGCCGUGCCUUCUUCUCCCGCGUUUCUUCGAGAACGCCCGCGUCCCGGGCGGCACCAAACCCCACGCAGCGGGAACGACGUAAUAUCGGAGGAAAAAGCACGGGUGGAGGAGCCGGGGGUCGAACCCGGGGCCUCGUACAUGCGAAGCACGCGCUCUACCACUGAGCUACACCCCCAGCCGCAGGGGGCGGCAUCACCUGUAAACUGAAAACCGCAUGCGCGGCUCACGUUGUAUUUCCGUCGGAGAAAGUAGACGCGCCCAGCUCGGCGAGCUCAGGCUGCACCCGCUGUAACGAGGUCUGCGGCUCAGUGGGGUCUCAGCCUCUCAACGAGGGUCGGAGUUGCGGCCCCUGGAGUUGUUUCCUGUUUGCUCUGCAUUAUUUCCAGCUUCUGUACGGAAAGGGCGCCGCCUAACGACCGCCAGCGUGUCCCUCCUCUUGUCACCGCCCGAGGGCUCAGCUGGCUUCUGAGAAGCAGGGCGCUGAGGGCGCGAGAGCACGAGACAGCCCUGACGGGUGCGAUCCAGCGACUUCUACUCUGUCCUCAUCUAGGCACGCAGCUUCCGAGGUUCCUUCCAGGAUCCAGACGAGUUGAACAAGAAUUUAAGGAUGAAAGGCAAGGGAGAGAUCUGGAACGAGGAACGAGGUCCAAUCACAGGGCUCGGGCUCUUCCUAGAGCAAACACUUACACCUAGGGAGCCCUGCAGCUUGAAUUGUGCAGAUAGUGACGCCUUCUGCACAAAAUAGUAACUAUAGGAGGAGGGGAGACAGUUCUAUUCUUUUUGUCCUUGUUGUGACUGGUCUGUUGAUUUGCUUUUGCUUUGGGCGCGUAUGUGGAGCAGUAAGGGGGAAACGAAUAGUUUGAGUUUGGAUAGGCAUAUUUCAAGUAUCUACAGGAUAGCCCCUUGAGGGUGUCUCUUAAACACAUUACAAGCGGAGUCUGGAAUUCUCGAGACAUCUCUGACCCUGAAUUUCGGACAUUCAUGUGUCUGGGAGGAGAGUGCCGGUUAGGAGUGGGUAGAGUAAGGACUUAAAGUUGUCCAUUAAGACCAGAAGAUAAAGGGGGCACCUGGGCACCUGGGUGGCUCAGUGGGUUGAGCAUCGACUCUUGAUUUCGGCUCAAGCCAUGAUCAGGGUCGCGGAAUCAAGUCCCAAGUUGAGUUCUGCACUGAUAGCACAGGGCCUGCUUGGAAUCCUCUCUCUCUCUCUCUCUCUCUCUCUCUCUCUCU